GCACCGGUAGCUCAGCGGUAGAGCACGUAUCUAGUAUAUAUUUUAUACUUACAAUACUAAGAUUUAGCCUGUUAAGCUCGGGGUCAUGGGUUCGAGUCCCAUCUGGUGCA
rnacentral:tRNA from 1 species